rnacentral:misc_RNA from 1 species
UGGGAAUUAGGCCUAGGCAGGAGAUAUGUGGAGGUAACAGUAGUGGUCGUCUUUCGCAGUAUGUGAUAAGUCGCUCUCCGUUCCACAGGGUCCCUUCUUCCUAUUUUGCCCAAUGUAAAGCACCACUACACUACUACUCUUUUAUGUACUUGUUCUUCCUCUUCUUCCCAUACCCAAAAAGGAGAAGAGAACAUCUUCUUCACCCUCCAACUCCAUUUUCAUUUUCAUUAGGAAGCUUAUUGGCUGAUUUUUUGGCUUAUUUGUUGUGAUUCAUUUCUGGGUUCUCAAUUUUAGAACAAGUAAAACUGAAAAGAAGAAGAAAAAGAGUGUAGAUACUGAGACAUCAGGUGAUUUCUUAAGUUGGGUAGGUUUAUAAUUGAGGAGAACUGAAGCUGGUGGGUGGUCUUCGUGUUAAUUGUUAUUGUAGGAACGAUAAUCAAUCAGAACAAAAAUGAAUUGUGGAGCAAUGAAUGUUGCAUCAACUCCUUCCUAUGCUUCUCGGAAUCCAUGUCUCUCUUCUUCUUCUGCUUCUCGCAAUUCGAAGUUCCCACUGCUGUUGCCGCAGGCAAUUUGUACCCCUCAGAGGAUGUUUUGUUUCUCUAAUCUCUCAAAAUAUAAUACUUCUUGGGGAUUGACUAAGCAACAGCUGAACAAGCGGAUGCUGCCUUUGGGAUCAGUGGUGACUUCCAAAUCUCAACAUGUAUCCACUGCACCUCUCAUUGGUGAUGAGAGGAUAGGAGUAUUGUUGCUCAAUCUUGGAGGCCCUGAGACUCUUGAAGAUGUGCAGCCUUUCCUCUUUAACCUUUUUGCUGACCCGGUAAAGAUAUUCCUGAUGGGUUAUCAUCUGAUGGCAUUGGAAUAAAUGCUCAAGUUAAAUGGACCUUUUACCCUGAUGAAAACAGACAUAUUUAACUUGUACAAAUGCAUAUCCCUUAUAGGUUAUAUUGAGCAUCAGGUUUCAUUCUGUCAACUUUUUACCUAAUAUCUCAGGACAUUAUACGCCUGCCAAGAUUGUUUCGUUUUCUUCAAAAGCCUUUGGCACAAUUCAUAUCUGUUGUAAGGGCACCCAAGAGCAAAGAAGGCUAUGCUUCAAUUGGUGGUGGUUCGCCUCUACGGCAGAUAACUGAUGCACAGGCUGAGGAAUUGAGAAAGUCUCUUUGGGAAAAGCAAGUCCCAGCAAAGGUGUAUGUUGGUAUGCGCUAUUGGCACCCAUUCACUGAAGAAGCCAUUGAACAGAUAAAAAGAGAUGGGAUCACAAAGCUUGUUGUGCUUCCACUUUAUCCACAGUUCUCAAUAUCAACCAGUGGUUCAAGCCUUCGUCUCUUGGAGAGUAUAUUCCGAGAAGAUGAGUAUCUUGUUAACAUGCAACACACAGUGAUACCUUCCUGGUACCAGCGUGAAGGAUACAUAAAAGCCAUGGCAAAUUUAAUUGAAAAGGAAUUAGAAACAUUUGACUGUCCUGAGAAGGUUGUGAUAUUUUUCAGUGCUCAUGGGGUGCCACUUGCAUAUGUGAAAGAGGCUGGUGAUCCAUACAAAGCAGAGAUGGAGGAAUGUGUGGAUUUGAUAAUGGAAGAGUUAGAAAAGAGAAAGAUCACUAAUUCAUACACUCUUGCCUAUCAGAGCAGAGUUGGACCUGUGGAAUGGUUAAAGCCUUAUACUGAUGAGACAAUCAUGGAACUUGGAAGAAAAGGGGUGAAGAAUAUUCUUGCUGUCCCAAUUAGCUUUGUUAGUGAGCACAUUGAAACUCUUGAGGAAAUUGAUGUUGAGUAUAAAGAGUUGGCUCUUAAGUCUGGUAUAGAAAAAUGGGGACGUGUCCCUGCACUAGGAUGUGAACAAACCUUCAUUUCAGAUUUGGCAGAUGCUGUAAUUGAGUCUCUUCCAUACGUUGGAGCUGUGGCAGUCUCAAAUCUUGAAGCUCGACAGUCUUUAGUUCCACUGGGCAGCGUGGAGGAGCUGUUGGCGACAUAUGAUUCAAAGCGCAGGGAGUUACCACCACCAGUGACAGUGUGGGAAUGGGGUUGGACAAGAAGUGCAGAAACUUGGAAUGGAAGAGCUGCUAUGUUGGCAGUUCUUGUUCUAUUGGUACUUGAAGUCACCACCGGCGAGGGGUUUCUACGCCAAUGGGGUAUGUUGCCGCUGUUUCAUUGACUAAGAGAAUGUACAUAAAUUACACGAAUUUGUAAAUUUUGUUUCAUACACAUAAUAUAGGAUAAAUCAUCUUGACCCCAGACUUUUAAUUGAAAUUUCACUUAGCGCACCUACUUUUAGUUGCAUCCCAUUUAACACUUUAUAAAAAUGUAAAUAUUUAAUCUCUAUAAUUGGUGAACGUGUAGUUGUGACUUGCUUGUAUUUUGACUUUUCGUUACACUUUUAUAAAAUUUAAGGGUUUAAUAGUUACAUUUUUAUAAGUUCAGGGAUUUAAUAGUAGCUUUUUUAUAAAAUUCAAAUAUCAAGUAGGAUGUUACUAAAGGUGAAGGUGCUAAGUGAGGAUGUUACUAAAAGUGAAGGUGCUAAGUGGCUAUAUGUUCAAAACUUGGAGGUCAAAGAUGCUUUCAGUUCUAUAUAAAAUUGAAACAUCCUAACAGAUUGCAGUUGGGGUUGUACGCAUGUUAUAGGUGCAGUUGAAUAACAAAUCUGUGGGCGAAGAGGGGAAAAUUUGUAUUAUAUGUACGUGUUAUUUUGUUAAUUUGCACAUUCUCGUUUUCAAUUUGUUACUUGUUAUGGGGCCUUCAAUUUUCACACUCAGAACUUUCUUGAUUUAUG